UGGGGAAUAUUGCACAAUGGGCGCAAGCCUGAUGCAGCCAUGCCGCGUGUGUGAAGAAGGCCUUCGGGUUGUAAAGCACUUUCAGCGGGGAGGAAGGCGGUGAGGUUAAUAACCUCAUCGAUUGACGUUACCCGCAGAAGAAGCACCGGCUAACUCCGUGCCAGCAGCCGCGGUAAUACGGAGGGUGCAAGCGUUAAUCGGAAUUACUGGGCGUAAAGCGCACGCAGGCGGUUUGUUAAGUCAGAUGUGAAAUCCUCGGGCUCAACCUGGGAACUGCAUCUGAUAAUGGCAAGCUUGAGUCUCGUAGAGGGGGGUAGAAUUCCAGGUGUAGCGGUGAAAUGCGUAGAGAUCUGGAGGAAUACCGGUGGCGAAGGCGGCCCCCUGGACAAAGACAGACGCUCAGGUGCGAAAGCGUGGGGAGCAAACAGG
rnacentral:rRNA from 1 species